AUAGUACUCCCUCCGUCUCAAAAUUGUUGUCUUAAAUUUAUAUAAAUAUGAAUGUAUCUAGUCAUAUUUUAGUAUUUAGAUACAUCCACUUCUAGAUAAAUUUAAGACAAGAAUUUUGGGACGGAGGAAGUAGGAC
rfam:Hordeum vulgare subsp. vulgare, WGS project CAJW01000000 data, contig: morex_contig_141326